AGGACAACGAAGGAUGCAGAGGGGACCCUUCAGUUUUAUGGUGUUCAAGAACUAUUGUUUCUCCGGACAUGAGGUUGCCUCCCGUCAAAAAUAAUGACCUCAGCUUGGAGCUGCAGGUAUUACAGCCAACACAUGUUGAUCUAUGAACUGGCCACUCUGUUCCUGCAUCUGGCAAGUAAGAUGUUGCAUACAAAAACUCAUAGUCAUAAAAUGUUUCAUCGUAUCUA